GAUGAACGCUGGCGGCGUGCCUAAUACAUGCAAGUCGAGCGAACGGACGAGAAGCUUGCUUCUCUGAUGUUAGCGGCGGACGGGUGAGUAACACGUGGAUAACCUACCUAUAAGACUGGGAUAACUUCGGGAAACCGGAGCUAAUACCGGAUAAUAUUUUGAACCGCAUGGUUCAAAAGUGAAAGACGGUCUUGCUGUCAUUUAUAGAUGGAUCCGCGCUGCACUAGCUAGUUGGUAAGGUAACGGCUUACCAAGGCAACGAUGCAUAGCCGACCUGAGAGGGUGAUCGGCCACACUGGAACUGAGACACGGUCCAGACUCCUACGGGAGGCAGCAGUAGGGAAUCUUCCGCAAUGGGCGAAAGCCUGACGGAGCAACGCCGCGUGAGUGAUGAAGGUCUUCGGAUCGUAAAACUCUGUUAUUAGGGAAGAACAUAUGUGUAAGUAACUGUGCACAUCUUGACGGUACCUAAUCAGAAAGCCACGGCUAACUACGUG
rnacentral:rRNA from 1 species